AGCGUACACGGUGGAUGCCCUGGCAGUCAGAGGCGAUGAAGGACGUGCUAAUCUGCGAUAAGCGUCGGUAAGGUGAUAUGAACCGUUAUAACCGGCGAUUUCCGAAUGGGGAAACCCAGUGUGAUUCGUCACACUAUCAUUAACUGAAUCCAUAGGUUAAUGAGGCGAACCGGGGGAACUGAAACAUCUAAGUACCCCGAGGAAAAGAAAUCAACCGAGAUUCCCCCAGUAGCGGCGAGCGAACGGGGAGCAGCCCAGAGCCUGAAUCAGUGUGUGUGUUAGUGGAAGCGUCUGGAAAGGCGUGCGAUACAGGGUGACAGCCCCGUACACAAAAAUGCACAUACUGUGAGCUCGAUGAGUAGGGCGGGACACGUGGUAUCCUGUCUGAAUAUGGGGGGACCAUCCUCCAAGGCUAAAUACUCCUGACUGACCGAUAGUGAACCAGUACCGUGAGGGAAAGGCGAAAAGAACCCCGGCGAGGGGAGUGAAAAAGAACCUGAAACCGUGUACGUACAAGCAGUGGGAGCACAGAGCAAUCUGUGUGACUGCGUACCUUUUGUAUAAUGGGUCAGCGACUUAUAUUCUGUAGCAAGGUUAACCGAAUAGGGGAGCCGAAGGGAAACCGAGUCUUAACUGGGCGUUAAGUUGCAGGGUAUAGACCCGAAACCCGGUGAUCUAGCCAUGGGCAGGUUGAAGGUUGGGUAACACUAACUGGAGGACCGAACCGACUAAUGUUGAAAAAUUAGCGGAUGACUUGUGGCUGGGGGUGAAAGGCCAAUCAAACCGGGAGAUAGCUGGUUCUCCCCGAAAGCUAUUUAGGUAGCGCCUCGUGAAUUCAUCUCCGGGGGUAGAGCACUGUUUCGGCAAGGGGGUCAUCCCGACUUACCAACCCGAUGCAAACUGCGAAUACCGGAGAAUGUUAUCACGGGAGACACACGGCGGGUGCUAACGUCCGUCGUGAAGAGGGAAACAACCCAGACCGCCAGCUAAGGUCCCAAAGUCAUGGUUAAGUGGGAAACGAUGUGGGAAGGCCCAGACAGCCAGGAUGUUGGCUUAGAAGCAGCCAUCAUUUAAAGAAAGCGUAAUAGCUCACUGGUCGAGUCGGCCUGCGCGGAAGAUGUAACGGGGCUAAACCAUGCACCGAAGCUGCGGCAGCGACGCUUAUGCGUUGUUGGGUAGGGGAGCGUUCUGUAAGCCUGCGAAGGUGUGCUGUGAGGCAUGCUGGAGGUAUCAGAAGUGCGAAUGCUGACAUAAGUAACGAUAAAGCGGGUGAAAAGCCCGCUCGCCGGAAGACCAAGGGUUCCUGUCCAACGUUAAUCGGGGCAGGGUGAGUCGACCCCUAAGGCGAGGCCGAAAGGCGUAGUCGAUGGGAAACAGGUUAAUAUUCCUGUACUUGGUGUUACUGCGAAGGGGGGACGGAGAAGGCUAUGUUGGCCGGGCGACGGUUGUCCCGGUUUAAGCGUGUAGGCUGGUUUUCCAGGCAAAUCCGGAAAAUCAAGGCUGAGGCGUGAUGACGAGGCACUACGGUGCUGAAGCAACAAAUGCCCUGCUUCCAGGAAAAGCCUCUAAGCAUCAGGUAACAUCAAAUCGUACCCCAAACCGACACAGGUGGUCAGGUAGAGAAUACCAAGGCGCUUGAGAGAACUCGGGUGAAGGAACUAGGCAAAAUGGUGCCGUAACUUCGGGAGAAGGCACGCUGAUAUGUAGGUGAAGUCCCUCGCGGAUGGAGCUGAAAUCAGUCGAAGAUACCAGCUGGCUGCAACUGUUUAUUAAAAACACAGCACUGUGCAAACACGAAAGUGGACGUAUACGGUGUGACGCCUGCCCGGUGCCGGAAGGUUAAUUGAUGGGGUCAGCGCAAGCGAAGCUCUUGAUCGAAGCCCCGGUAAACGGCGGCCGUAACUAUAACGGUCCUAAGGUAGCGAAAUUCCUUGUCGGGUAAGUUCCGACCUGCACGAAUGGCGUAAUGAUGGCCAGGCUGUCUCCACCCGAGACUCAGUGAAAUUGAACUCGCUGUGAAGAUGCAGUGUACCCGCGGCAAGACGGAAAGACCCCGUGAACCUUUACUAUAGCUUGACACUGAACAUUGAGCCUUGAUGUGUAGGAUAGGUGGGAGGCUUUGAAGUGUGGACGCCAGUCUGCAUGGAGCCGACCUUGAAAUACCACCCUUUAAUGUUUGAUGUUCUAACGUUGACCCGUAAUCCGGGUUGCGGACAGUGUCUGGUGGGUAGUUUGACUGGGGCGGUCUCCUCCUAAAGAGUAACGGAGGAGCACGAAGGUUGGCUAAUCCUGGUCGGACAUCAGGAGGUUAGUGCAAUGGCAUAAGCCAGCUUGACUGCGAGCGUGACGGCGCGAGCAGGUGCGAAAGCAGGUCAUAGUGAUCCGGUGGUUCUGAAUGGAAGGGCCAUCGCUCAACGGAUAAAAGGUACUCCGGGGAUAACAGGCUGAUACCGCCCAAGAGUUCAUAUCGACGGCGGUGUUUGGCACCUCGAUGUCGGCUCAUCACAUCCUGGGGCUGAAGUAGGUCCCAAGGGUAUGGCUGUUCGCCAUUUAAAGUGGUACGCGAGCUGGGUUUAGAACGUCGUGAGACAGUUCGGUCCCUAUCUGCCGUGGGCGCUGGAGAACUGAGGGGGGCUGCUCCUAGUACGAGAGGACCGGAGUGGACGCAUCACUGGUGUUCGGGUUGUCAUGCCAAUGGCACUGCCCGGUAGCUAAAUGCGGAAGAGAUAAGUGCUGAAAGCAUCUAAGCACGAAACUUGCCCCGAGAUGAGUUCUCCCUGACUCCUUGA
rnacentral:rRNA from 1 species